UUUUAUUUAUGUUUAAUUUUUUAAUUUUUACAAGAUGCCGAUAGUAGCUGGCUUAUUAAUGUACAUUAUUCUUUGAUAUUUCAGGAAGCCACAGUGUUCAACUGUGAACUACAGAGUCCUGAAAUAAAACUUGAAUCCUGAUUGGCAGAACUGCCUCAGUAAGGGCUGGCUGAACUGCAUACCCAAAAUGUUUUAGAUCUACGGUCCACUUUCACGUUGGCUGGACUAAUGCGUUUCUACUGCUCCUCUUACACGUUGACUGACUUUCCUCUCAGGAAGAGGUAGAGACUAUGUUCCUUUUUUCCUCAAUCUGGGACUUGGUUUCUGAGACAUCACUGUUGUAACCAAGAGCAUGGUAAAAGUGAUGUUAUGUGACAUUGAAGGAUAAGUCCUAAAAAGCCAACUCUGCCAAGCUCUCCUGGAGCCCCAAAAUACCACCUAAGUCCAGCUGCCCUGAAGCCACCAUGCUAGAGAUUUUCGGGAAAGACUAUACCACUAAUAGUGAAAAGCACAAAGAGCAUCCUUUCAGCUCAGAAGUGAAAAGCUUCAUGAGACUCAGAACCAGAAGAGUCUGAUACUCCCGAGUUCUUCACCCACAGAAAAGCUUAUCAUACACCAUUGAUCUUUGGAUGCUUUGCUAACAUAGCAAGAAAUAAUAUACAGUUGAUACUGCUAAGCACCACAGCCACCACUUGGUUGGGUUCAGAAGACAUCCUACUUUACCUUUUUAAAGUUUGGUCCAAAUUUGUACCUACAACUUUUCCUUUUUUCCUGCAGCACAGGUAAAAUGUUGGAACCUUUAACAAGUUCAGGCAAUGAUGAUAUAAAGAAGUUAACAUGCAACUAGCUGCACUGGCUUCUAAAUUGAGUUCACUGACCUUACCAUGAGUUUGUAGUAACAUUUCUCUCCAAUCUCUGAAAAAGUUUUUCUCUCCAGGCCAUCUGUACGCUUUACGUAGGGACUGUUAACCAACCCACGUAUUACACAUAAGGACUCUAGGUAAAAUCUAGUGUUUGAAAAACAGCAUGUUAUAUAUUACACUAGGUUUUUCGUUUUUUUUCCAGUGGUGGGCUGUCAUUACAAAAGAUUGAACUUUUAUACACUUCCUAAUCAAACUUAAGGGGAAUCUAAACACAAAAACUAAUUCACUUUCUAGGAGCUCUUUAAAAAUGGGCUUAAACCUACAAUCCAAUCUCGUAUCUAAGUAUGAUGGAAUGCUUUUUCCCCAGUGGCAUUCAUAUAGUUCAGCUGUCAAGCAGUACCUUUCUUAAAAUACCAGACUGAAAAUAGUUCAAUUUUCUGUAAAAAGUCAGAGCCGGGCACGGUGGCUCAUGCCUAUAAUCCCAGCAGUUUGGGAGGCUGAGGCGGGCGGAUCACCUGAGGUUGGAAGUUCGAGACCAGCCUGACCAACACAGGGAAACCCCGUCUCUACUAAAAAUACAAAAUUAGCUGGGCGUGGUGGCACAUGCCUGAAAUCCCAGCUACUUGGGAGGCUGAGGCAGAACAAUCGCUUGAACCUGGGAGGCAGAGGUUGCCGUGAGGCGAGAUCGCGACACUACACUCGUCUGGGCAACAAGAGUGAAACUCCGUCUCAAAAAAAAAAAAAGUCAGAUCUGUGUAAAGAGAAUUAGUGUACCUGAAAAUUGUUUUCAGCUGUCAAUCACUUUGGUCCUUUACUGUCAUUCUAAGAAUCAGCCUAAUUUGGUU
rnacentral:lncRNA from 1 species